rnacentral:piRNA from 1 species
UUGUCAAAUAUUCAAUGAUCU